AACGAACGCUGGCGGCAUGCCUAAUACAUGCAAGUCGAACGAACACUUCGGUGUUAGUGGCGCACGGGUGCGUAACGCGGGGGAAUCUGCCCUUGGGGUCGGAAUCACAGUUAGAAAUGACUUCUAAUACCGGAGGAUGACGUAAGUCCAAAGAUUUAUCGCCCAAGGAUGAGCCCGCGUAAGAUUAGCUAGUUGGUGAGGUAAAGGAUCACCAAGGCUACGAUCUUUAGCUGGUCUGAGAGGAUGAUCAGCAACAGUGGGAAUGGGACACGGCCCAGACUCCUACGGGAGGCAGCAGUAGGGAAUAUUGGACAAUGGGGGCAACCCUGAUCCAGCAAUGCCGCGUGAGUGAUGAAGGCCUUAGGGUUGUAAAGCUCUUUGACGCGAGAUGAUAAUGACAGUAUCGGGAGAAUAAGCUCCGGCUAACUCCGUGCCAGCCGCCGCAGUAAAAC
rnacentral:rRNA from 1 species